CUAUGCCGGCUUUUCUCCAGACCACAUGGCUGCCCUUUGUCUGAAUCUUCUCUUCUCUUCUCAACCUCGCAACAAAAGAACCUGCAAGACACCAGCAGAAGUGCUGCUACCGACAGAUGGACACAAAGAACUUCUUCUAAGGAACAAACCAAGUUGGCGCCAACCUGUGAACUCUAGAGAGACAAAGGAUUGAACCAAAACUCUCCAAACAUGACUCCUCCAACAUCUACAAAUGCAACUGGCAGUUAACCAAGAAAAUACUUUUCUUCCGUGGACUGGUUAAAGUACCUGGUCCUACAUUAGCGCAGAUGGCUAAGCAAGAAUGUUUAACCUCUGUCGAUGUACAUUUACUGAUUUCAUUAAAUGCUCUUUAUUGCCUUU